UACGGAGGGAGCUAGCGUUGUUCGGAAUUACUGGGCGUAAAGCGCACGUAGGCGGCUUCUUAAGUCAGGGGUGAAAUCCUGGAGCUCAACUCCAGAACUGCCUUUGAUACUGAGAAGCUUGAGUCCGGGAGAGGUGAGUGGAACUGCGAGUGUAGAGGUGAAAUUCGUAGAUAUUCGCAAGAACACCAGUGGCGAAGGCGGCUCACUGGCCCGGUACUGACGCUGAGGUGCGAAAGCGUGGGGAGCAAACAGGG
rnacentral:rRNA from 1 species